AGCUUGUUAGUAAGUUUUCCUUCUGCAAGUUAUCUUGUCCUUCUGCUAAAGGUGCACAGGCCUUAUCACUACUGCUUUAGACCGGUUUUAGCUGUGCUGGAACUGAUAAAUGCUUACU